CAGAGGUGCGAGCGUUAAUCGGAUUACUGGCGUAAGCGUGCGUAGGCGGCUUUAAGUCGGAUGUGAAAUCCCUGAGCUUAACUUAGGAAUUGCAUUCGAGUACUGGGAAGCUAGAGUAUGGGAGAGGAUGGUAGAAUUCCAGGUGUAGCGGUGAAAUGCGUAGAGAUCUGGAGGAAUACCGAUGGCGAAGGCAGCCAUCUGGCCUAAUACUGACGCUGAGGUACGAAGCAUGGGAGCAAACAGGAUU
rnacentral:rRNA from 1 species